rnacentral:rRNA from 1 species
GAUGAACGCUGGCGGCGUGCCUAAUACAUGCAAGUCGAGCGAACAGACGAGGAGCUUGCUCCUCUGACGUUAGCGGCGGACGGGUGAGUAACACGUGGAUAACCUACCUAUAAGACUGGGAUAACUUCGGGAAACCGGAGCUAAUACCGGAUAAUAUAUUGAACCGCAUGGUUCAAUAGUGAAAGACGGUUUUGCUGUCACUUAUAGAUGGAUCCGCGCCGCAUUAGCUAGUUGGUAAGGUAACGGCUUACCAAGGCAACGAUGCGUAGCCGACCUGAGAGGGUGAUCGGCACACUGGAACCGGAGAAACGUUCAGACCUCCUAGGGGAGGCAGAAGUGGGAAAUCUUCGGAAAGGGGCGAAGCCUUACCGGAGAACGGCGGGGGAAGUAAGAAAGGCCUCGGAUUCGUAAACCCUUUUUAUUGGGAAAAAACAAAUGGUAAAGUACCAAUGCCGGCCUGAAGGUAACUUAACAAGAAAGCACGGGUUAAUUACGG